UUAAGCGACUAAGCGUACACGGUGGAUGCCCUGGCAGUCAGAGGCGAUGAAGGACGUGCUAAUCUGCGAAAAGCGUCGGUAAGGUGAUAUGAACCGUUAUAACCGGCGAUGUCCGAAUGGGGAAACCCAGUGUGAUUCGUCACACUAUCGUUAACUGAAUACAUAGGUUAACGAGGCGAACCGGGGGAACUGAAACAUCUAAGUACCCCGAGGAAAAGAAAUCAACCGAGAUUCCCCCAGUAGCGGCGAGCGAACGGGGAGCAGCCCAGAGUCUGAAUCAGCUUGUGUGUUAGUGGAACGGUCUGGAAAGUCCGACGGUACAGGGUGAUAGUCCCGUACACCAAAAUGCACAGGUUGUGAACUCGAAGAGUAGGGCGGGACACGUGGUAUCCUGUCUGAAUAUGGGGGGACCAUCCUCCAAGGCUAAAUACUCCUGACUGACCGAUAGUGAACCAGUACCGUGAGGGAAAGGCGAAAAGAACCCCGGCGAGGGGAGUGAAAAAGAACCUGAAACCGUGUACGUACAAGCAGUGGGAGCACCUUCGGGUGUGACUGCGUACCUUUUGUAUAAUGGGUCAGCGACUUAUAUUCUGUAGCAAGGUUAACCGUAUAGGGGAGCCGCAGGGAAACCGAGUCUUAACUGGGCGUUAAGUUGCAGGGUAUAGACCCGAAACCCGGUGAUCUAGCCAUGGGCAGGUUGAAGGUUGGGUAACACUAACUGGAGGACCGAACCGACUAAUGUUGAAAAAUUAGCGGAUGACUUGUGGCUGGGGGUGAAAGGCCAAUCAAACCGGGAGAUAGCUGGUUCUCCCCGAAAGCUAUUUAGGUAGCGCCUCGUGAACUCAUCUUCGGGGGUAGAGCACUGUUUCGGCUAGGGGGUCAUCCCGACUUACCAACCCGAUGCAAACUACGAAUACCGAAGAAUGUUAUCACGGGAGACACACGGCGGGUGCUAACGUCCGUCGUGAAGAGGGAAACAACCCAGACCGCCAGCUAAGGUCCCAAAGUCAUGGUUAAGUGGGAAACGAUGUGGGAAGGCACAGACAGCCAGGAUGUUGGCUUAGAAGCAGCCAUCAUUUAAAGAAAGCGUAAUAGCUCACUGGUCGAGUCGGCCUGCGCGGAAGAUGUAACGGGGCUAAACCAUGCACCGAAGCUGCGGCAGCGACACUAUGUGUUGUUGGGUAGGGGAGCGUUCUGUAAGCCUGCGAAGGUGUGCUGUGAGGCAUGCUGGAGGUAUCAGAAGUGCGAAUGCUGACAUAAGUAACGAUAAAGCGGGUGAAAAGCCCGCUCGCCGGAAGACCAAGGGUUCCUGUCCAACGUUAAUCGGGGCAGGGUGAGUCGACCCCUAAGGCGAGGCCGAAAGGCGUAGUCGAUGGGAAACAGGUUAAUAUUCCUGUACUUGGUGUUACUGCGAAGGGGGGACGGAGAAGGCUAUGUUAGCCGGGCGACGGUUGUCCCGGUUUAAGCAUGUAGGCUGAUUAUCCAGGCAAAUCCGGAUAAUCAAGGCUGAGGUGUGAUGACGAGGCACUACGGUGCUGAAGUAACAAAUGCCCUGCUUCCAGGAAAAGCCUCUAAGCAUCAGGUAACAUCAAAUCGUACCCCAAACCGACACAGGUGGUCAGGUAGAGAAUACCAAGGCGCUUGAGAGAACUCGGGUGAAGGAACUAGGCAAAAUGGUGCCGUAACUUCGGGAGAAGGCACGCUGGUGUGUAGGUGAAGUCCCUGCGGAUGGAGCUGAGACCAGUCGAAGAUACCAGCUGGCUGCAACUGUUUAUUAAAAACACAGCACUGUGCAAACACGAAAGUGGACGUAUACGGUGUGACGCCUGCCCGGUGCCGGAAGGUUAAUUGAUGGGGUUAUCCGUAAGGAGAAGCUCUUGAUCGAAGCCCCGGUAAACGGCGGCCGUAACUAUAACGGUCCUAAGGUAGCGAAAUUCCUUGUCGGGUAAGUUCCGACCUGCACGAAUGGCGUAAUGAUGGCCAGGCUGUCUCCACCCGAGACUCAGUGAAAUUGAACUCGCUGUGAAGAUGCAGUGUACCCGCGGCAAGACGGAAAGACCCCGUGAACCUUUACUAUAGCUUGACACUGAACAUUGAGCCUUGAUGUGUAGGAUAGGUGGGAGGCUUUGAAGCGUGGACGCCAGUCUGCGUGGAGCCAACCUUGAAAUACCACCCUUUAAUGUUUGAUGUUCUAACGUUGGCCCCUGACCGGGGUUGCGGACAGUGUCUGGUGGGUAGUUUGACUGGGGCGGUCUCCUCCCAAAGCGUAACGGAGGAGCACGAAGGUUAGCUAAUCCUGGUCGGACAUCAGGAGGUUAGUGCAAUGGCAUAAGCUAGCUUGACUGCGAGCGUGACGGCGCGAGCAGGUGCGAAAGCAGGUCAUAGUGAUCCGGUGGUUCUGAAUGGAAGGGCCAUCGCUCAACGGAUAAAAGGUACUCCGGGGAUAACAGGCUGAUACCGCCCAAGAGUUCAUAUCGACGGCGGUGUUUGGCACCUCGAUGUCGGCUCAUCACAUCCUGGGGCUGAAGUAGGUCCCAAGGGUAUGGCUGUUCGCCAUUUAAAGUGGUACGCGAGCUGGGUUUAGAACGUCGUGAGACAGUUCGGUCCCUAUCUGCCGUGGGCGCUGGAGAAUUGAGGGGGGCUGCUCCUAGUACGAGAGGACCGGAGUGGACGCAUCACUGGUGUUCGGGUUGUCAUGCCAAUGGCACUGCCCGGUAGCUAAAUGCGGAAGAGAUAAGUGCUGAAAGCAUCUAAGCACGAAACUUGCCCCGAGAUGAGUUCUCCCUGAGACUUUAAGUCUCCUGAAGGAACGUUAAAGACGAUGACGUUGAUAGGCCGGGUGUGUAAGCGCAGCGAUGCGUUGAGCUAACCGGUACUAAUGAACCGUGAGGCUUAACCUU
rnacentral:rRNA from 1 species